GGUAGGGUGGCCGAGUAGGCGGCAAGCUGUAGAUUUGCCCACGGGGCAGCGCCCCCCCAACCA
rnacentral:tRNA from 1 species